GCCUUGUGUGUCAUACCAGAAACCAGAUAGGGACAGAAAUAUCUGGGAGGGGAAAAAAAAAAAAAAAAAAAAAAGAAAACUUUAAUCUCAUCUGAUUGAAAAAUAUCACAUGCCAUGAGCGUUAUAGUCACAUAAAAAAAAAAAAAAAAAAAAAAAGCACAGUAUUGCUGUCAUUGACUUAGAGGAAAACAUCUCCUCUUUGACGCUUACCAACAAGGUACGGCUGGUUUUAUGUUUUCAUCUUCCUUCUUAUCCAAGCUUUUAGCCACUUUGAGCCAUGUUUCCUAGGCCUGGCAAUCCAAGAGCAGCUUCUCUAGACCUCAUACACCUCCAGGCUCUCUUCUAUGCAAUUAUUUUCCUGUGAUACCAUCCUUACAACUUCCUGGGUAUUCAAAAAUUCCCAUUUUCUUCUCAAAAAUAUUUUGCAAAACCAUAUGCAUAUGUAAGCAUCCCAUUGUCCCAUAUGUUUUUCCUCCUUCUCUCCAGCCUUAAAUGCAAUACUCUGCCUUUUACUUCUUCUUCUUUCUUUUUUGUCUUUUUCUUUUUUUUUCUUUUUUUUUCUUUUUUUUUCUUUCUUUUUUUUUUUCUUUUUUUUUUUUUCUUUUUUUCUUACAGCCUGCAUCCCCUUGUGAAACAUUCCUCCACAGUCAGGUGAGGUGACCAAAGUCUCUAUCAGCUGAUUCACUGUGUAGUCAGCUAUCCCUUGAUGUCCAGACUUGAAAUAACAGUUUGCACUCAAUAUCAGUGAGCUUUUCAAACAGUGGGUUUGCAGUUUGUUUGCUGCUGGAAUUCCUGUUCAUCUUAUUGAUAGGUCAGAACAGAGAGCUUUACUUGGCACAGAGCUUGAAGCCUGAAAUAGAUCAGUUGAACUCUAGUUCUACUGUGCAGACAGAGCUCGCUCUAUUGCAGCAUUCCUUUUUUGGCAGAAGGGAAAGCUUAUCUCUAGCAACCUCACCUGCUGCCCUGAGAUGCACACUUCCUUUCUGUUCCUUCACAGUAAGUUGUUCACACACACCAAGUGAAACAGUGGAUAUGAUGAGCCUUGACAGUCUUUCAACUGGGGAGCACUGGAAAAAGAAGACUUCUUCAGUCCAAAAGGGGCAAAUCUUGCUGUGA
rnacentral:lncRNA from 1 species